rnacentral:lncRNA from 7 species
AAAAACAUCGGCAUGGCAUAUAUUUAUUAUUAUUAUUUAUCUAUUUAGUCAUUAGUUGUUUUAAUCAAGUCUAUUAUUAUUGAUAUUCAAUAAUAAGAAAAGUAGUAAUCACUUAGACUUCAUAAAUUCCAAGAUCAUCAUUUUUUCCUAAAUUUUGGGUAUUAUACCUCUGCACUUACUGCCUAUGAAAUUUAAGAGGAUUAUGUGCAGGUUUUGAGGUGUGGCACUGUCGCUCACCUGCGCAGCACUGCCACUGUCACGCAUUACCGGCAGUCAGAGUGGCACUACCGCUUGUCCUCCUCUGCAGUUCUGCUUCUAGAUUUCCAUAGACAUUUGAGUUGGUUCACUUCUAGCAUUUUGGUGCAGUCAAUCGAUAAUUUGUUGAUUUGCACAGUGCUACACUACUUUUGGAGUCCCGUGGGGUUUAAUUUGAAUCUAGGAUAAAGUCACGGUGCUCUCUCAAGUGGAGAAUUUUUUGUGGCUCCCAUUCACUCCCCUCUGGUCACCUCACCGGUUCACUAGAAGAUGUCAUGGAGCCUCUCUAGGACUUUGAUGGUGUCAAAGUGGUCAUCUAGGACAGAGAUAAUACUGGCCAACCUGGACAUCUUAAGGACCAAAUACCCAUAAUGGGCGGCAUCCAUAAAAUUGUAUAGAAUGGGGCACCUAAGACCUUGUUCUCUUGGCCCACAUAAAAGGCUUGUCAAUGACAUUAUGUUUUCUCUUCUACUAGGCUAUCCUAGUAAAGAACUUUGUUAGACUUUAAUUAGGUUGAAAACAUAAGCCCGGGCUACAAGUUUUUCCAUGACGACCGGUCUAUGAUAUUUGACAUCAAAGCUGAGGAAAGGUAUCUAUGUACGUCAUGACAUCUUGGACCGUAACUUUGGCUC